rnacentral:rRNA from 1 species
UACGUAGGGCGCAAGCGUUAUCCGGAAUUAUUGGGCGUAAAGAGCUCGUAGGCGGUUUGUCGCGUCUGCCGUGAAAGUCCGGGCUCAACUCCGGAUCUGCGGUGGGUACGGGCAGGCUAGAGGCAGGUAGGGGAGAACGGAAUUCCCGGUGUAGCGGUGAAAUGCGCAGAUAUCGGGAGGAACACCGGUGGCGAAGGCGGGUCUCUGGGCCGAUACUGACGCUGAGGAGCGAAAGCGUGGGGAGCGAACAGG